rnacentral:rRNA from 1 species
AACGAACGCUGGCGGCAUGCCUAACACAUGCAAGUCGAACGAGAUCUUCGGGUCUAGUGGCGCACGGGUGCAUAACGCGUGGGAAUCUGCCCUUUGGUUCGGAAUAACAGUUGGAAACGACUGCUAAUACCGGAUGAUGACGAAAGUCCAAAGAUUUAUCGCCAGAGGAUGAGCCCGCGUAGGAUUAGCUAGUUGGUGUGGUAAAGGCGCACCAAGGCGACGAUCCUUAGCUGGUCUGAGAGGAUGAUCAGCCACACUGGGACUGAGACACGGCCCAGACUCCUACGGGAGGCAGCAGUGGGGAAUAUUGGACAAUGGGCGAAAGCCUGAUCCAGCAAUGCCGCGUGAGUGAUGAAGGCCCUAGGGUUGUAAAGCUCUUUUACCCGGGAUGAUAAUGACAGUACCGGGAGAAUAAGCUCCGGCUAACUCCGUGCCAGCAGCCGCGGUAA